UUUUGAAAGCUUGCAUUGACUGGGAUCUCGUUCAAAUGAAAAUAUGACGUGUGAUUGGGGGGAAAUGACGAACACCAUGAUACAACAUAUAGUUACAGUUAGAACGGGAGAUUUUAACAAUUGGUGUCAUUGAUAGCUCAGACAAUGUUAUAAUAUUCAGAAUUUAGCCGAAGUUCGGAGUCAACUAGAAAGAACAAAGAUGUGUAUGCCGGUACCUAGACCAUAUGUCUCAUUAAAAAUUUAAGCACUACUUCACUAUCAAAGUACUCUUCAUCAUUGGCUAACCUUUUCUAAGAACAAUUAUUGGAGGGACGGAACCCCCCCCC
rnacentral:lncRNA from 1 species